rnacentral:rRNA from 1 species
UAGGGAAUAUUAGAAAUGGACGAAAGUCUGAUCUAGCAACACCGCGUGUGCGAAGAAGGCCUUCGGGUUGUAAAGCACUUUUUGGAAGGAUUAGGAAGGAAUGUACUUCCAGAAUAAGUCUCGGCUAACUACGUGCCAGCAGCCGCGGUAACACGUAGGAGGCAAACGUUAUCCGGAUUUACUGGGCGUAACGCGCGGGUAGGUGGUUCUGUAAGUAGGGCGUGAAAGCUCCUGGCUCAACUUGGAGAGGCCGUUCUAAACUGCAGAGCUAGAGGAUGGUAGAGGGAGGUGGAAUUCCGGGUGUAGCGGUGGAAUGCGCAGAUAUCCGGAGUAACACCAGUGGCGAAAGCGGCCUCCUGGACCAUUCCUGACACUCAGACGCGAAAGCUAGGGUAGCAAACG